rnacentral:lncRNA from 1 species
AAGUCGCUUCAGUUGUGUUCGACUCUGUGCGACCCCAUAGACGGCAGUCCAGCAGGCUCCCCCAUCCCUGGGAUUCUCCAGGCAAGAAUACUGGAGUGGGUUGCCGUUUCCUACUCAUUAAUGCAUGAAAGUGUAAAGUCAAGGUGAAAUCAGUCGUGUCCCGACUCUUGGAUACCCCUGGACUGCAGCCUACCAGGCUCCUCCGCCCAUGGGACUUCCCAGGCAAGAGUAUUGGAGUGAAUUGCCAUUACCUUCUCCCCACUAAACCUACUGUAGCAAAAUUUAAGGUACUAAAGUCUGGCCAUCUGGACGACCUGUCGGCGGCCCAGCUACAAACAGCAUGAAUGCCACCGGGACAAAUUUGGAUCGCAGGGUGGGGAAGGCACAGCGUUAUCACUCCGCAUUCGUUCCCUCCGUAGGUUGCAUUUCUCUCCCGCAUUCUCUUUUACGCGUGUUCAGAGGCUCUCAAGACUAAAAACCGCGCCAGGCUCUCGUGUCACCAGGACCCUCAUCGGACGGCCCCGGACGCUUUCUGUCUCAAACAUUUGCUUGGCGCUUCUGACCGCCGAGCCCAAGCAGGACUGGAGCCGCGCAUUGGGCGAACUCCUUGUUCGCCCGCCACGUUCCCUGUUGUCACCCACGCUGAGGAGACACGUGUGUGUGGGGUCCAUACAACCGCCGAGGCCGCUAGGGGAACAGAAGAGACCACAGGGGGUAGCCGCGAAGACGCAGCCCGUCCUGCGGACAAUCGCAGAGAGGAGAAACGAGAGUGGCCGUCGGAGAGCAGCUACCCCGCUUCCCGGCCUUGGUGCGGACCUGAACCCCAGGCCGCGAGGACGGGGCCCACAGCCGAGCGCCAACUUGUUCCGCGCGUUCGGCCCGUCCCCCACUCCAGGGGAAGAGGGACAGGAUCCAGGUACGGCCGGCGGAAGUCAGCGCCGUCCGCCGACGGAGACACACGGCCACUCCCAGCCAAGGCGGGAAAACUGGUCAACGUGGCCCAGGACACGGCUCGUGGCACAGUCACUCUUGGUCGCGAGCUAUAGGCCAUGCUGUACACUGGGGCAGAGGAAACGUCCCGUCCGCCAUCCAGCUCCUAGAGAAACGGCCCGGCCUCGCCACGCAAGCCUGUCCGUUCAAGUCAAGCGGGAGCAGGACGCGUCCAGGCCCGUAGACGGGGCCCCGGCUCGCCCGGGAACGAGCCCUCGGAGCACUGACUCGGGCGGGCUGGCCAAGCCCCGGAGCCUAGUAUGGGGGUACCGAGGAAGGGAAACGAGCGCCCUAAACGGUGACC